rnacentral:lncRNA from 1 species
UUUAAUCAUUGUCUGAGGAGGAAAUGUUACUUUCCUGUUUUGCACUUGGUCCCGUGAGUGACAGCCGAAAGUGGCGAGAACCAGAAGAGAUUCCAUUUCCGCCGUGGUGCGUGAGCGUCUGUGACUCAGACUGAAACAUCUCUCUCUCUCUCUCUCUCUUUUGUUUCUUUGUUUGCUUUCUCUCUAAUUUUUUUUAAUUACUCCUUUCAGCAGAUUCUUUUCCUCCCUUUGUCCUGUGCAGUUUUUGGCCGGAGUUCAAGUUUCACGGCCGUUUGGUCGCUGCGAAAAUGCCGGGAAAACGAGUUAUUAUAGCAUUGUAAUCGCCGUUGCAUGUUUCAUCAGAUUUGUUUAUCAUUUGGUAUGCUUCCUUUUUUCCCGCUUCUCUCUUCCUUUAUAUUUUGUCGUUUUGGCCGUUAAUUCUCCCAAACGAAACCGCCAUUGAUUGGCUG